UACGUAGGUGACCAGCGUUGUCCGGAUUUACUGGGCGUAAAGAGCGCGCAGGCGGUCGUUCAAGUCGAGUGUGAAAGCCCCCGGCUCAACUGGGGAGGGUCAUUCGAUACUGCUCGGCUCGAAGACAGGAGAGGGAAGCGGAAUUCCCGGUGUAGUGGUGAAAUGCGUAGAUAUCGGGAGGAACACCAGUGGCGAAGGCGGCUUUCUGGCCUGUUCUUGACGCUGAGGCGCGAAAGCUAGGGGAGCAAACGGG
rnacentral:rRNA from 1 species